rnacentral:rRNA from 1 species
GUGAGGAAUAUUGGUCAAUGGGCGAGAGCCUGAACCAGCCAAGUCGCGUGAAGGAAGAAGGAUCUAUGGUUCGUAAACUUCUUUUGCAGGGGAAUAAAGUGCAGGACGUGUCCUGUUUUGUAUGUACCCUGAGAAUAAGGAUCGGCUAACUCCGUGCCAGCAGCCGCGGUAAUACGGAGGAUGCGAGCGUUAUCCGGAUUUAUUGGGUUUAAAGGGUGCGUAGGCGGACUAAUUAGUCAGCGGUGAAAUUUUGCGGCUCAACCGUAAAACUGCCGUUGAAACUGUCGGACUUGAGUGUAAAUGAGGUAGGCGGAAUGCGUGGUGUAGCGGUGAAAUGCAUAGAUAUCACGCAGAACUCCGAUUGCGAAGGCAGCUUACUAAGCUACAACUGACACUGAAGCACGAAAGCGUGGGGAUCAAACAGGAUUAGAAACCCCGGUAGUCC